rnacentral:rRNA from 1 species
GGCUGCAACUCGCCUACAUGAAGUCGGAAUUGCUAGUAAUCGCGGAUCAGCAUGCCGCGGUGAAUACGUUCCCGGGCCUUGUACACACCGCCCGUCACACCAUGGGAGUCGGUAACACCCGAAGCCUGUAGUCUAACCGCAAGGAGGACGCAGUCGAAGGUGGGAUUGAUGACUGGGGUGAAGUCGUAACAAGGUACC